rnacentral:lncRNA from 1 species
CUGAGAACUAAUGAAAAUAAAUGCAAAUACAGUGACUUUUCCCUCACUGCGCUCCCAUUAAGCCUUCAGCUAUUCUGACAUAAUUUGUUUCUCUUUUACCGUCUGUGUUUUUACAGGCUGUGCAUGGAGACCAGAGCUUCCAUACUGCAGGAGGACACACACAGGAACAGCCCAGAAGGGAGCAACCCAAAAUCCAAAAAAGUGCCGCUGGGUGGAUUUCAAACGAAUCCUUUUGUCUGGCACCAGUUCCUGGGUCUGUGUAUGCAUAUAGCCUUCAAAGAGUUAAAGCAAUGUGCUUUCAAGUGUCCCUAGCUGCAGGCUUACCUCCUCCCACUCCUGGUCCCUGUCCUAUAUUCUGGAACCAUUACUGGUGACAAAGACUCGAAAGGAAAAAAGGAAGGGCGAUAUCAUUCACAUUUGGAAAAUGUAAGAAUGAAUGUUGUUCCCUUGGGGAAUCACUUGAGUGACACAAUGGAAAAAAGCCCCGGGGGCAUGUCUUCCUGAACCAUCUGCCUCCACACCCAGUGCAAAGGCCCCUGGGCUUCCAAUGAUAAUAAGUCUACAUUUUGUGUUGCACAGACAGUACACGUCUUGAAAAGAUUUUUCUUAGCCAUAAGUAUGUCCCAAAUCAGCUGGUGCUGCUCAGCAUAGAGAGUUAAGCUCACACUAUGCCAAAUUUUGCAGAAAAUGUUCUACAUCUAUCUUUGCAAUUCUGAGAUUUAUAAUUUAGUCAUAAAUUCUUAAAAAAAAAAAAAAAAAAGGACCACCAAAACCCUGAUAAGUGAAAUAUUUUUUAAUAUCAUCUCAAAGACAAGAAACAUUCCUGGAUAUGUGUACAUUCAACCAUAAUCUAUAUAUUACUAAUAUAUUUAUUGUCUGUAUUACUUUGAGGUACAUAUACAGGGUAAAAAGGACCAUGCUACUCAAAGGUUUUAAAUAUUUUGAAAAUAACUCCAAGAAGGUUUCAGUUUGGUAUUGAAGUGCUUGUAAACUUCCUUAUGUAUUUGUGAAAAUGGUGGUUAGAAAGCAGCUUUUUUAAAUUUACUUGGCAAAAAUUUUAAUAGCAGCAGCUGUCCAAACAUUCUGCAAGACACCCUUACACAAAUAUACAACACCUACUGAGAGAACUGAACUUUUGGAUUGGUAUUUUAUUUACAAGGGAAUCCAGUUGCUCUUGUACUCCCAUCACAUACUGCCUUUUACAGAUGGUUUUGUGGGUUUUUUCUGUUUUAAAGACUUUUUGGGGUUUCUAACUCCUAUAGUAUCUAGAUCUAUUCGGGAGUUUUUGCAUCUCUAUGAGCCUCCCAGAACA